CGGCCCCGCAGCCGCCCCGGCUGGGCGCAGGCAGGGCCACUCCGCCCCGCCCCGCCCCCACCGUGCAGUGUGAGGGCGCGAGGCGCCGCGGCUCCUCAGCGAGUCAGCGCCGCUCCCUUCCCGCCUGUGUGUGACGCAGUGAAGAGUUUCUUUCGAAAUCCGAAAGAAAAGCGAUAAUCCGACCAACUGGGAAACAGUGGCACUGGGAAACAAGGAUCUAGUUUGCUAGAUCGCUGGGAAGACUUGUGGAUUUCAAAUGCAGGCUUGGCAUUGCUCAGCCUUUUCUCCUCUGCAGCUCUGUUGAGUAUUAGCGCCACGACCGGGUUUUUUAUGACGUGCUUUUAAUGGAGACGGUGUUAAUUGUGGAAGUAGCGGUGUUCAAAAAGCAGUCUUAUGUUAUUCCAACAAGAAGAUGGUUUUUCUUCUUCCGCGCUCAGUCCCCUCAGGCCUUUAACCGAGAUGAUCUUUUAACGUCUUAACAGUGACGCUCAGAGAGCGGUUUCUCAGUCCCUUGACAGACAGAGCGCGCAGCCUUUGCGAACACGAGCGCAGCGUUAACAGAACAGCGCGCCAUUGCCCGCGCCUCAGCUGCUCUCUGCCAUCUGGUGGAUACGCGGAGUCACUGCUUCGAUACUUCCCAUUUCCACAAAGGAAGCGAUGUUCUGAAUAACUAAGCCGGUAUCGCACAACCGCAGGGUGGCUGAGGCUGGCAGGGCUCUCUGCCCACCUGGCCCAGCUCUGCCCCAGCAGCGUGCUCAGAGCCGUGGCCAGGCGGCUUCUGGACAUCUCCAAGGAGGCGACCCCGCAGCUCCUGGGUAGCCUGUGCCUGUGCUCCAUCACCUGCACAGCACAGAAGUGAUGUCUGGUGGUUAGACAGAACCUCCUGUGUGCCAGUUUGUGCCCAGUGCCCCUUGUUCUGCUGCUUUCUACCUGAGAGGCCCCAGCCUGUCCUGGGUUUGGCCCUUCUCCUUGUUGCGCAUGAAGCGGUCCUUUUACAGAGGAGCUGUUGAAGAAAGCGUGAGAUCUCACAAGAAAAACACUGUUUACAUAUGAAAACUUACAUCAAAAUCUCUCGUGCAUCUUACCAGCUAAUUUGCAGCCUAGUGAACAUUUGACCCACGGAGGUUUAUAAAAAUGAACAGGCUAGUUACACCAUACACAUUCAUUCCGCAACAACGUAUGCACCACAGAUACUGUUCUCUGUUUAGAUUCAGAACAGAAGCACAAUUUCAAAGCAGUGCAGACUGUAUGGCAACUGCUGAAUUACAGCCUGAACCUCUGAUUGACCCACCUGAGACGAGCACUGAGUCAGCCACAGGAGCACAGGUGAAGGCAAUUCAGCUGUGUGCCGGAAGGGGGGGAGCCUGGCUACACCUCUCCUAGACCUGUUUAAGAGCUGGCUGCCAGUGUGAAAGGGUCUGUUUUUGGAGAUCCCUCAGUUUGAAGUUUUCCAGUGAGCCCAGGACAAGGGUAAGCUCUUUGUCUAUUCUUUUUUGGUGUAAUAACCUGCUUAGCCACACUCUCUUGUAUAUUUCUUAGUUAUAGCAUCUGUGCAUUCAUUGAUUAUACAGCAGACCAAUCUGGAAUACAUGGCAUAUCUCCUGUGGCAGCAUGUAGUAAGAAGAAAAGACUGAUAGAAUGUUAGGACUGCUCAGCAUUUAGUGCUUCAUUCCUUGCUGCAGUAAGUCUUUAAACACAGCUCACGUUUGCUGGUGAGGAUGUGGAUGCAACUGACCGCAGUUGGGAUCUUUCUUCAAAUCAUCAUUCUGCAGCUUGGUGACUAUUUUUAAACUCAAGAUGUAUGUAAUGAUUCUUUCAAAAAGGAGCUUUUUACAUUUAAUUGUACAUGAAUUCAUAUAGGGUAGAAUCAGAACCUAAGAUUUAUCUUGUUUAUUUUGCAUUCUUUUGCAUUUUUGAAGACAGGUUGCAGAGAGCAGCCUGAAAACACACAGCAAAUAUUUUUCCCAAGGAUUGCAGCUGACGAAACACAGUUAUGACUUAGUGCCACAUGGCUGACUGCAUACUUGAUAAAAGAAGUCUGCAUGUUUAACAAGUCUCUCUCCCAUUCUACUUUUCUGGUGCCUAAUACUGCAUGGACUUUAUUGGCCUCCAUGCCUCCAGUUAUCAGCAUUACCUUGUGUCUUUUAAUGUAAGGCCUCCUUCCUUAUCUUUUCAACCUCUGCUCUCUGACAAAGUUCUCAGGUGUGGUCAGACCUUCAAGCACACAGUGUGACUGGACAGGACUCCUUCCUGUUAAGAAACUCAUCAAUUGUGCUUGGGUCUUGCACGCUGCAGGAGUGUGAGUGUAGAGAGAAGGCUUAGCCACAAGGGGGUUUGCUCUGAAAUGUUUAAAAGGAGGCUGAUACAAGCAAACCAGCCUCGAGGAGAAAGCUCAACCCUUUGGAAGAACUAAAGGAGUUUGUCCUUGUAGCAAGUCAGAGCUGCAUCACUGUUUUCUGUUCACCAGAAGGCAUUUUAGACUUGCUUUGUGCAAUACCUUCACGGGAGCACAUGGCUUCCUGUUUUUGUGCAAGAACUUCAUCCCUGUUUGAAGCUGGAUUUAAAACAUGGUUCAGUGGUUCAGAUCAGAAUGAGAUCUUUUACAGAACAAAUCAUGAUUAUGAUUUGAAGAUGAAACAGUCUUCCCACAAGUGAAAUAUGGGAGGGACUGCUCCUGGAGCUUGUUAACAUGGGAAGGAUGUACCCAAAGGCAUGUAGAGAAACAAUGGGAAAGGCUGAAAAUAGAAGGUAGACCUUAUAAACUUGUUCAGGUCAUGACAUCUCCCUAGACAAAAUCUCUGGAAGACACAGGUGUACCUAGAAAUGAGAACCACAAACAGCUGGGUUCCAGUGCUGUCACAGAAGUUACAUGCACACAACUUCACCUGCUCACAUGCAGCACAAGCACUGCUUGCUGUCAGGAGAUCACAGCACAUGAAUAAUGAGUGAGGGGACCCUGAUACAACCCUAAGACUGAUGGCUAUGAGAGAUGAGGGGGGCUGAGGAUUUUUGAGCAAUUUCACCCCACUGAACUCUAGAAUUUGGACUAAAUCUGCAUCUGACAAAUUUGUUUUUGAACACUACACAUUUUUCUUCUAUUAUGAAUGAUGUAUGUUGUUUUGAAUCUAAUCAGUAUUUCAGUAUUACCUGUAUCUUAUUCAAGUGGAUGAGUAAAGACUUAGAAUGAUGAGUUAUUAGCAAAGAAAAGAACUAUUCAUAAAUAGUAUGUAUUAGCUAUAUAAAACCAAACCAAAUGCUGUUAAGUUAAUCUAAUAUGAAUGAGUACAUUUAUGAUCACUUUGUGAAA